rnacentral:rRNA from 1 species
CCUACGGGUGGCAGCAGUGAGGAAUAUUGGUCAAUGGGCGAGAGCCUGAACCAGCCAAGUCGCGUGAGGGAGUACUGCCCUAUGGGUUGUAAACCUCUUUUGUCGGGGAGCAAAAGCCGGACGUGUCCGGCUGUGAGAGUACCCGAAGAAAAAGAGUCGGAGAACUCCGUGCCAGCAGCCGCGGUAAUACGGAGGAUGCGGGCGUUAUCCGGAUUUAUUGGGUUUAAAGGGUGCGCAGGCGGAUUUUUAAGUCAGCGGUAAAAUCGUGGGGCUCAACCCCAUCCAGCAGUUGAAACUGGGGAUCUAGAGUGUGCGAGAGGUAUGCGGAAUGCGUGGUGUAGCGGUGAAAUGCAUAGAUAUCACGCAGAACCCCGAUUGCGAAGGCAGCAUACCGGUGCACAACUGACGCUCAGGCACGAAAGCGUGGGUAUCGAACAGGAUUAGAUACCCCUGUAGUC